UGGGGAAUUUUGGACAAUGGACGCAAGUCUGAUCCAGCCAUGCCGCGUGCGGGAAGAAGGCCUUCGGGUUGUAAACCGCUUUUGUCAGGGAAGAAACGAGUUUCUCUAAUACAGAGACUUAAUGACGGUACCUGAAGAAUAAGCACCGGCUAACUACGUGCCAGCAGCCGCGGUAAUACGUAGGGUGCGAGCGUUAAUCGGAAUUACUGGGCGUAAAGCGUGCGCAGGCGGUUAUAUAAGACAGAUGUGAAAUCCCCGGGCUCAACCUGGGACCUGCAUUUGUGACUGCAUAGCUAGAGUACGGUAGAGGGGGGUGGAAUUCCACGUGUAGCAGUGAAAUGCGUAGAGAUGUGGAGGAACACCGAUGGCGAAGGCAGCCCCCUGGGAUAACACUGACGCUCAUGCACGAAAGCGUGGGGAGCAAACA
rnacentral:rRNA from 1 species